GCUGCAUGUGGGCUGAAAGAGUUAGAUUGUCUCUCCUUACAGUGACAUAAAUCACAAGUGAUCAUGCAAAGAUGUGGACCAUGGCAAAGCUGUAAUGCCUAACUUCGUGCUGAGAAGCCUCCUCCCAGGAAAGAUCCACCAUCCCUACAGUGUUACUGGCUGUGUGAUGCAGUGCUCUAGUUUAUCGCAGCUGAACAUCUCCUCCUUUGACAGCCUGAUUUCAGCAGUCAUUUUGUACCAGAGGUUUUAAUAAAUCUUUCCAAAACAGGCUAACAGCCACAGAAACACUGGCACAAGACAUACGGUUUACAUUAACACUAAGAGAGGAAGAAGACUGACCUACUUGAAGGAGGGGAGAAAACAGCACCAGCUGAAGGAUCUGGGAACUGUCC